CGAGGGGAGUGAAAAAGAACCUGAAACCGUGUACGUACAAGCAGUGGGAGCACAGGUUUACCUGUGUGACUGCGUACCUUUUGUAUAAUGGGUCAGCGACUUAUAUUCUGUAGCAAGGUUAACCGAAUAGGGGAGCCGGAGGGAAACCGAGUCUUAAUUGGGCGUUAAGUUGCAGGGUAUAGACCCGAAACCCGGUGAUCUAGCCAUGGGCAGGUUGAAGGUUGGGUAACACUAACUGGAGGACCGAACCGACUAAUGUUGAAAAAUUAGCGGAUGACCUGUGGCUGGGGGUGAAAGGCCAAUCAAACCGGGAGAUAGCUGGUUCUCCCCGAAAGCUAUUUAGGUAGCGCCUCGUGAAUUCAUCUCCGGGGGUAGAGCACUGUUUCGGCUAGGGGGCCAUCCCGGCUUACCAACCCGAUGCAAACUGCGAAUACCGGAGAAUGUUAUCACGGGAGACACACGGCGGGUGCUAACGUCCGUCGUGAAGAGGGAAACAACCCAGACCGCCAGCUAAGGUCCCAAAGUCAUGGUUAAGUGGGAAACGAUGUGGGAAGGCCCAGACAGCCAGGAUGUUGGCUUAGAAGCAGCCAUCAUUUAAAGAAAGCGUAAUAGCUCACUGGUCGAGUCGGCCUGCGCGGAAGAUGUAACGGGGCUAAACCAUGCACCGAAGCUGCGGCAGCGAACGUAUCACCCAAGACAACUUUACGGAGUUGACGAUUGACGGAGCGAAGCGACGUCAAAGCGUUCAUUAAAGUCGAGUUGGCUUAGGGAUACGUUCGUUGGGUAGGGGAGCGUUCUGUAAGCCUGUGAAGGUGUGUCGUGAGGC
rnacentral:rRNA from 1 species